AGGGCGCACGGUGGAUGCCUUGGCACUAGAAGCCGAUGAAGGACGUGACUAACGACGAAAUGCUUUGGGGAGCUGUAAGUGAGCAAUGAUCCAGAGAUGUCCGAAUGGGGGAACCCGGCAGGUAAUGCCUGUCACUCAUUACUGUUAAGGUAAUGUAGAGGAAGACGCAGUGAACUGAAACAUCUAAGUAGCUGUAGGAAGAGAAAGCAAAAGCGAUUGCCUUAGUAGCGGCGAGCGAAACGGCAAGAGGGCAAACCGAAGAGUUUACUCUUCGGGGUUGUAGGACUGCAACGUGGACUUAAAGAUUAUAGAAGAACUACCUGGGAAGGUAGGCCAAAGAGAGUAAUAGCCUCGUAUUCGAAAUAGUCUUUAUACCUAGCAGUAUCCUGAGUACGGCGAGACACGAGAAAUCUCGUCGGAAUCUGGGAGGACCAUCUCCCAACCCUAAAUACUCUCUAGUGACCGAUAGUGAACCAGUACCGUGAGGGAAAGGUGAAAAGCACCCCGGGAGGGGAGUGAAAUAGAACCUGAAACCGUGUGCCUACAACAAGUUCGAGCCCGUUAAUGGGUGAGAGCGUGCCUUUUGUAGAAUGAACCGGCGAGUUACGAUAUGAUGCGAGGUUAAGUUGAAGAGACGGAGCCGUAGGGAAACCGAGUCUUAAUAGGGCGCAUUAGUAUCAUGUCGUAGACCCGAAACCAUGUGACCUACCCAUGAGCAGGUUGAAGGUGAGGUAAAACUCACUGGAGGACCGAACCAGGGCACGUUGAAAAGUGCUUGGAUGACUUGUGGGUAGCGGAGAAAUUCCAAACGAACUUGGAGAUAGCUGGUUCUCUCCGAAAUAGCUUUAGGGCUAGCGUCGAUGUUAAGUCUCUUGGAGGUAGAGCACUGUUUGGGUGAGGGGUCCAUCCCGGAUUACCAAUCUCAGAUAAACUCCGAAUGCCAAUGAGAUAUAAUCGGCAGUCAGACUGCGAGUGCUAAGAUCCGUAGUCGAAAGGGAAACAGCCCAGACCACCAGCUAAGGUCCCAAAAUAUAUGUUAAGUGGAAAAGGAUGUGGGGUUGCACAGACAACUAGGAUGUUAGCUUAGAAGCAGCUAUUCAUUCAAAGAGUGCGUAAUAGCUCACUAGUCGAGUGACCCUGCGCCGAAAAUGUACUGGGGCUAAAACAUAUUACCGAAGCUGUGGAUACCUUUAUAGGUAUGGUAGGAGAGCGUUCUAUGUGCGAAGAAGGUGUACCGUGAGGAGUGCUGGAGCGCAUAGAAGUGAGAAUGCCGGUAUGAGUAGCGAAAGACAGGUGAGAAUCCUGUCCACCGUAAGACUAAGGUUUCCAGGGGAAGGCUCGUCCGCCCUGGGUUAGUCGGGACCUAAGGAGAGACCGAAAGGUGUAUCCGAUGGACAACAGGUUGAUAUUCCUGUACUAGAGUAUAUAGUGAUGGAGGGACGCAGUAGGCUAACUAAACCAGACGAUUGGAAGUGUCUGGCCAAGCAGUGAGGUGUGAUAUGAGUCAAAUGCUUAUAUCUUUAACAUUGAGCUGUGAUGGGGAGCGAAGUUUAGUAGCGAAGUUAGUGAUGUCACACUGCCGAGAAAAGCUUCUAGCGUUAAUUAUACUCUACCCGUACCGCAAACCGACACAGGUAGUCGAGGCGAGUAGCCUCAGGUGAGCGAGAGAACUCUCGUUAAGGAACUCGGCAAAAUGGCCCCGUAACUUCGGGAGAAGGGGCGCUGACUGAUGGUCAGCCGCAGUGAAUAGGCCCAAGCAACUGUUUAUCAAAAACACAGCUCUCUGCUAAAUCGUAAGAUGAUGUAUAGGGGGUGACGCCUGCCCGGUGCUGGAAGGUUAAGAGGAGUGCUUAGCGUAAGCGAAGGCAUGAAUUGAAGCCCCAGUAAACGGCGGCCGUAACUAUAACGGUCCUAAGGUAGCGAAAUUCCUUGUCGGGUAAGUUCCGACCCGCACGAAAGGCGUAAUGAUUUGGGCACUGUCUCAACGAGAGACUCGGUGAAAUUUUAGUACCUGUGAAGAUGCAGGUUACCCGCGACAGGACGGAAAGACCCCAUGGAGCUUUACUGCAGUUUGAUAUUGAGUAUCUGUACCACAUGUACAGGAUAGGUAGGAGCCUAUGACCUCGGGACGCCAGUUUCGAGUGAGGCGUUGUUGGGAUACUACCCUUGUGUUAUGGCUACUCUAACCCAGAUAGGUUAUCCCUAUCGGAGACAGUGUCUGACGGGCAGUUUGACUGGGGCGGUCGCCUCCUAAAAGGUAACGGAGGCGCCCAAAGGUUCCCUCAGAAUGGUUGGAAAUCAUUCGCAGAGUGUAAAGGUAUAAGGGAGCUUGACUGCGAGAGCUACAACUCGAGCAGGGACGAAAGUCGGGCUUAGUGAUCCGGUGGUUCCGUAUGGAAGGGCCAUCGCUCAACGGAUAAAAGCUACCCUGGGGAUAACAGGCUUAUCUCCCCCAAGAGUUCACAUCGACGGGGAGGUUUGGCACCUCGAUGUCGGCUCGUCGCAUCCUGGGGCUGUAGUCGGUCCCAAGGGUUGGGCUGUUCGCCCAUUAAAGCGGCACGCGAGCUGGGUUCAGAACGUCGUGAGACAGUUCGGUCCCUAUCCGUCGCGGGCGUAGGAAAUUUGAGAGGAUCUGCUCCUAGUACGAGAGGACCAGAGUGGACUUACCGCUGGUGUACCAGUUGUUCUGCCAAGAGCAUCGCUGGGUAGCUAUGUAGGGAAGGGAUAAACGCUGAAAGCAUCUAAGUGUGAAGCCCACCUCAAGAUGAGAUUUCCCAUGAUUUU
rnacentral:rRNA from 1 species